GAGAACCGCAGUGAGUUUCCUCAAGUGGGACACGCCCUUUCCUGUCAUCAACGUUGUUAUCUACAAUUCAGCGCAAAGCUCAUAAGCAAGCUUCUAGAUAAUUGUAGGUUUUGGCGGCUUCUAGAUAAUAAAUUUUUUCUGUUUAUUUUACAUUUAUUUGUAAAACAAUUCGAAAAAAGAUCGAGAAAAUGCUACAAGUUUUGUCAUCAAAGCGCAGGUUUUGGCCAAGUUUUGACUACGUGUAUUUACUGCCAAAUCCCUUCAAAGUAAAACAAAUUUACUUCUGGCAAUUCAGCGAGUAGUAAAGUAAUCUUGAAUUCAGCAGCAACGAAUAUCAGCCUCACAGCAGCAUAUUUCGGGGUGUUUCAAUUUCAGUGGCGGCGCCACGAAUUUUCGCCAGUGGGGGCAAGCUUGAGGUGACCAGACUGUUGUCUGAUACCUCGAUCUGCAAAAUCCAUGAGCACCUUUCUUGCCCCUAGAUUCUGCCAUUCAAAAUUAUUUUGGUUUCAGGUGUCAUGCAUACACUGUAAAAAAUGUUAGCACAGUUUGAGUUUUCUGACUCACUUUAACGAUGUGUUCAAACAACUAACUUGCUAAUGAAUCCGUAUUUAUCGAGUAAUUUAAACCUUAUUGCAAAGCAAAACACGGUUAGUCCAAAUCAGGAUGAACUAGCUCGGAAUCCCCGUGUACAAUGACACUGUUCGAGUAAUCGCCAUGUAUUCAUACCCGCAAUUGGCGGACACCAAGGCCCUAUAUACCAGGUAGGGUCGUCCGGCGAUUCUACCUGAUCGUGACGUCAGCUCGUGACGUCAUCUGGGGGCAAGUCUUGAAGUCCCGUUUAAGUCCUAUGCAAAUGGGCGAUUUUUGAAGCGCUGUAGAACAAACUCUGCUAAAGCUAGCACAAAGCUAAGUGCAUCAUCGGAAAGCCGAGACAUUUUUCUUCGAAUUAUCUAAGAAUCGUUUUUCACUAAACCCAUUAGUUUUUCCGAAAAUGCGUAAAAAAGCCCCCAUGCCUCGGCAGCCUCCCUUCCGCCGGCCGCCGCGCCGCCGCGGUAGUGUAGUGGUUAGGAUGCUUGCGCCGUAAUCCAAAGAUCGUGCGUUCGAAUCUAGGCGCGGGUCGUACUUAAAUAGAAAUUGCAAGCAAAAUAUGCGUUUUUUCUUGGUAAAUCACUUAUAUUACAGCUAACCGUUCAUAAAACUAUCGAUAACAAUUGACUGAAACCCAAUUUGUAGAAUACAUUAUAAUAAAACAAAUUCAAAUAUGGCGGCCGUUGCGCCAGGCUCCGCCCCCGACUCCGCCCCUUCGUGUGACGUCAUCUGUGCACCUGGACACACAGGGAGAUAGGGGACGACAUGGGCCUGGCGGACACUGUGUUCCGAAACACGAAUACGAUUUUGUGGAAGCAUUUUUGCGCACGGUUCUACCGUGUUGAAUGACACGUUGCCGUGUUUUACCCCUCUGCGUCGAGUUUAAAAACCCGAAUGGGAUUAUUUGGGCCGCGAUCUUGAGGGACAUUAACACCAAUUAACACUGUGGGUACUAUACUCGGUUCAGUUUCGCGCCAAAUGCAGCGCCGCGUGGGCCUCAGUCGCCAUCUUUGUGCGAUCCAGGGAGGUCGUGUCUGUGCUGCGUGUGACGUCUUGUUGAAUACGGCUCAAGAUGAGCCGAACAUAGGCGCGGGAGCCGGGGGGGCAGUGGGGGCAGCUUGCCCCCCCAACUCUAGGGCCGUGGGGGCGGUGCCCCCACAACUUUGAGACGAAAUACUGCACUUUUUUUGCAAGUGUUUUUCUUUUUUUGUUGAAAAAGCCAAGGGAUGAAAAAUAAGUGGCCGAAAACCGGUGAGAAAACUAGAUUUGGGGGUACCCUAGGUUCAUCUCCAUUAUGGUGUGCCCCCCAGUCUGAAAGUAGUUCCCGCGCCUAUGGAGCCGAAUGAAGGUGAAUCUCCAAGUCCCACAGUCAGAGCUCAAGACCGUGAGGCAGGACUUCAUUCCUUGAUGAAUGCGGCUCAACUGCUAACAGGAUAAGAAGACACGAACCAGAAGUUGGACGCUUUUUAGAAUUUCCUCUCGUACCGCUAUAGUGUCAUGGGUGGAGGGGAGCGAGGCUGCCAUCUCCGAAGACAACACGCCUCUGAGUGUGCGCCUCCUAGUUUGUGCGGCAAUGUUCCCCGUGUUCAAUGAGAAAAUUCAAUGCCCCAGCGGUCAGAACUCCCAGCUAGUAUUGACGCAAUAGCUCUCCCAAAUGUCGACCGGAAAGUCGUUAAAAAAAUCGUUGCGACGAUCGGCUCGACAAGCUGAAGACCGCGCCAGUGAAUGCAUGUGAAACGGCACCUCUACUCUCCCAUCGCCAGGCCCAAAGACGUGUUGUUCAUAGGUGUCUUUCACAAUACUAGUGUUGCUGAUCGCGGAGGACCACUGUCCACUGCUCGUCCGCCGUG